UACGUAGGGUGCAGGCGUUGUCCGGAAUUAUUGGGCGUAAAGGGCUCGUAGGCGGUCUGUCGCGUCGGGAGUGAAAACUCAGGGCUUAACCCUGAGCCUGCUUCCGAUACGGGCAGACUAGAGGUAUGCAGGGGAGAACGGAAUUCCUGGUGUAGCGGUGAAAUGCGCAGAUAUCAGGAGGAACACCGGUGGCGAAGGCGGUUCUCUGGGCAUUACCUGACGCUGAGGAGCGAAAGUGUGGGGAGCAAACAGG
rnacentral:rRNA from 1 species